ACGGACACAAUGUCAGAAAUUAUUGUAACAAAAGAAAACGUGUGGUAAUAUUACGAAAAAGUGUCGGGUUACCAAGCAAAAUGCAGGUUUUGCAAACGAAAACUUAUUUACAUCAGUUUAAAAUUCGGUCAGCAUAUGAGUAAAAAGCAUCCUGAUAUAAAUGAAAACGAAGAAACAUAUAAAGGACGACAAGAAUGGCCAUGGAUAUAUUUCAAGUACAACGAUACUUCUAUCUCACUAUGUCUUCUCUGUCGUCAGAAUCUUCGAACCGAUUUUCAAUCUUCAGCAAAUCAUUUAACACAGAAGCAUUUUAACGAAGUGGAGAGUUACGUACUUUACGAUUGGACAUGGAAAUAUUGUACAAAAAUUAGUGAUUUUGAAAUUAAAUGUAUGGAGUGUAACAUCGAAUCAUCUAUUUAUCUCUAUACUCAGUUGAAUAGACAUAUAGUAAAUAAACAUUUGGAAGAAUUAAGAAAUGCGCAAAAAAUAGGUGACAUAGCUCUUUCGUCAGAAUCCGUUUGGAAUUUAAAAAUUAUGGAAGUUAAAGAAAACAUGUGGAAAUAUUAUACUAAACUGUCGUCUUUUCGAGCAAAAUGCAAAUCGCAAUACUGCGCCUAUGAAUGUAAUUAUAAUUAUAUUUAUGAUUUUUCUGUGCACAUAAACGUAAAGCAUGAAUUAAUCUCUAAAUAGGAAGAGGAACACAAAAAUCAAAAACCAUGGGGACCCAGAAGUUUUUUUCCCAAAUACUUAGAAAUGUGGUGCUACAAAACGGAUUUGACAUGAUCUUCGUGGCUGCUUUCCCAUUGGCACCAUUCUUCGCGUUACUGAACAACAUUUUCAAGAUGAGAUUGGAUGCAAAGAAGUUGGUGACCAUGUACAGGCGACCGUUUGGUCAGCGAAUCAGAAACAUAGACAUAUGCUACCGCAUACUCGAUUCCAUUUCUAAAUUAUCCGUUAUUACCAAUGCAUUCAUCAUAGCUUUUACUUCAAACUUUAUACCGAAACUAGUUUAUUGUAUGACAAUUUCUGAUAAUUACUUGCUUGAAGAUUUGUCGUUAUCCGGAUUACAGAGAACCACCCGAAUCGCCUUACAAGUAUGAUUACACCAUCAUGUUCUGGCAUGUACUAACAGUUGGAUUAGCUUUAAUCGUCGUAUUUGAGAAUUUUGUGACACUUGUGAUGAUCUUCGUGCAUUGAUGGUGCAUUCCUGACAUUAGUUCUAAACUAUGCGACAGGAUACGUCGCGAAGCAUACAUCACUAAUGAAAUCAUUAUACAUCAAGAAGCACUGCGAGCGGCUUGCGAAAGAUCUGAUACUAAUGGCGGUAUCGAAUCGCAAGUUGCGCAAACAUACGUAGUUGCCAACGAGAAUGCGGAUAGAUAAAACAGAGUAAUGAGAAAUUCUCUCUCGACUUCUGAUUUUGAUUUGGAGGUCCUCUGUCGCCCGCUAAUACAGCUCCGCGUAUUAGCCCUGCUGCGUUAUAAUAAAUACUAAGAAAAUUCGUCAAAUUGGCGUGAUUCGCGAGUAGCAUAGUUUUUUUAGCAUUAUUAGGUUGAUACAUAAGGUUUAUCGUUUUUGUCAAAUACUGAGAAUUAAAAACAAAGUACGUAUUGCUCAAUUUUUAUAAUUAAUUUUUAUUAAUUAAAAUAGUCACUAUUAACUUUAAUAUUCUUUCUACUUCGAUAGAAGAAGUAAGAUUUUUGUUAUUUAUUAAAAAAGUAUAUUAAAAAAAGGAAGUAGUUGAAAUACGACAAUCUCCUUGCCAAUGGCGUAACUAUCGGAGUGGCAGAAAGAGCUGCGCCCAAUUUUCAAUAUAUACUUAUAAGAAUAAGUCAAGGAACUUCUGUGUGAUAUGUCAAAUGCCUUUUAAACAGAUUCUUUUAACGAUGACGACAAUAGUUACGCGAAUUUGAGAUGUUACUUCCAGCACUUUUGUCACUUUAAUAAUUCUUUUUACUACUUCUAACAGAAACACGACUAAAUCGCGCUGCGAAACACGGUUGCCAUUUUCUCGCGCUUUGCUGGCGAAGCAAGAAGAAUGACAUUCGCAUUUUCUUCCGUCGAAGAUGCAACGGAAUGGAAAUAAACGCAUAGUUAACGCGAAAUAUCCGUUAUGAUCCUGUUUUACGAAGAUCCUCAGCGGUCUCAGUGCUGUGGGACAAAAAUAAUUACAAACAAAUUCUAAAAUCGCAUCUUGCCUAAAGCGAAAAUUUUGCCGAAUACUUCUGGAGAAUGCAUCACUUUUGGAGACUGCUUCACUUUGCAGAAUGCUUCAAUAUCUGAAAAAGAUUCACGUUGUAUUCUGCCGCAAAUCGACGCGUCAUUUCAUAUUCACCUAAUCCUUUUCAGUGUUGGAAAACCAAACUGAAAGAAAGUAGUGACUUUGUAUCGAGCUUUCUCAAAAUCAUGCUCGCAACUUCUGGUAAUGGUUGAGAAAUGUAGUCCACUUUUGGCACAUUAUCAUCGUCAUCGAUGGAUUCUACAAAUGUUCUACAAAUAAAAUGUUAUAAAAGAAGAGGAGAGGAGAGGGAAGAAUGAAAAGUUGAGGAGAAAAGGGAAAAAAGUUGGAAAUAUAUUUUAUUCCAACUAUUAUUAUACAUUAUGUAUAUAUCGUUAUACAUAUUCUCUCAGUUUUUAAAUUUUUAUAUUUAUUUGAAAUAAAAUUUAGACAACUCUGAGAUAAUAAGUAUAACGAUACAUAAUGUAUAAUAAUGAAACAAAAUGUAUUUCCAACUUUCUUCUCGCUUCUCUUCCCCUUUUCAUUCUUUUCAUUCCCCUCUCUUCCUAUUCUUUUAUAACAUUUUAUUUGUUCUUGUUCCCCCUAUCACUAAUUUUAAUAGGUUUUUCCAUAAAACAUGGUGGGACAUUUACUAUAUAUAAUGCGGUAAUGCAGCAGUCAUGCCAGAAGUGACAUCGCUACUGCACAGUAAAGAGCAUUACUCUUCUUGUAUAAACGAUGGCAGAGAUUAAUACACUUGUGGAAUCCAUUGAUGGUGAUUUUAAUGGGCAAAAAGUGGACUAUUUCUCAACUACCACCAGAAGUUGCGAGCAUAAUUUUAAGAAAGCUCGAUACAAAGUCACUAUUUUCUUUCGGUUUAGUUUCCCAACACUAAAAAGAGUUAAGUAAAUAUGAAAUAAUGCGUGAAUUUGCGACACAAUACAACGUGAAUCUUUUUCAGAUAUUGAAGCAUUCUGCAAAGUGAAGCAGUCUCUAAAGUGAUGCAUUCUUUAGAAGUGUUCGGUAAAGUCGCUUCACGCAAGAUGCGAUUUUAGAAUUUGUUUGUAAUUAUUUUUGUAGAUUAAGGAUAGAAAUAAAAAAUGUAUAUUAAGUUAGAUUUAUGUGUGCUCGCGUGAUAAAUAGUAAAGUAUUAGUAAACAUAAAUGUACAUUAGCAAUAUUGCGAAACUGACGAAAGUUCUUGGAACCCCAUAAGAGGACCAAAUAAAGAGUAUUAUAUAUAAUAAAAGAUUUACAAU